GACGAACGCUGGCGGCGUGCUUAACACAUGCAAGUCGAACGGUAAGGCCCUUCGGGGUACACGAGUGGCGAACGGGUGAGUAACACGUGGGUGAUCUGCCCUGCACUUCGGGAUAAGCCUGGGAAACUGGGUCUAAUACCGGAUAGGACCACUGCCUGCAUGGGUGGUGGUGGAAAGCUUUUGCGGUGUGGGAUGGGCCCGCGGCCUAUCAGCUUGUUGGUGGGGUGAUGGCCUACCAAGGCGACGACGGGUAGCCGGCCUGAGAGGGUGACCAGCCACACUGGGACUGAGAUACGGCCCAGACUCCUACGGGAGGCAGCAGUGGGGAAUAUUGCACAAUGGGCGCAAGCCUGAUGCAGCGACGCCGCGUGAGGGAUGACGGCCUUCGGGUUGUAAACCUCUUUCAGCUCCGACGAAGCGCAAGUGACGGUAGGUGCAGAAGAAGGACCGGCCAACUACGUGCCAGCCGCCGCCGUAA
rnacentral:rRNA from 1 species